AUGCAGAAAAGGUCCUCAACAAAAUCUAACACUCUUAUAUGAUUAAAAUAUAAAAAUAAAAACACGAAACAAACUAGAGAUACAAGUAAUGUCCUUAACAUGUUAAAGAGCAUUUGUGAGAAACCCAUAAUUAAUGUCAGGCUUCUUGAAGACUGAGUACUUUUCCUCCUAAGAUCAAGAAUCAGACAAAGAUGCCUGCAAUGUCUGCUCCUGCUAUUUCCAUUUAACAUUGAAGUGUAAGUUUGGGCCGUGGCAAUUAGACCAAAAAAAAAAAAAAAAAAAAAAGGAAAAGGAAAAGAAAACAAAAGAAAGGAGAGGAGAGGGGUGGGGAAGGGCCGGGGAGUGGAGGGGAGGCAGGGAGUGGGGAGGGGGCCAGGAGAGGGGAGGGGAGGAGAGGGGAGAAGGAGGAGAGAGGAAGGAAGGAAGGAAGGAAGGAAGGAAGGAAGGAAGGAAGGAAGGAAGGAAGGAAGGAAGAAAAGGAAGGAAGGGGAACAAAGGAAAAGGAAGGAAGGAAGGAGGGAAGGAAGGAGGGGGAAGGAAAGGAAAAGGAAGGAAGGGGAAGGAAGGAAGGGGAAGGAAGGAAGAAAGAAGGAAAGAAAGAGAAGAAAAAGAAAGGAAGGAGGAAGGCAGGAAGCGGAAGGAAGGAAAAGGGAGGAAGGAAGGAAGAAGAAGUCAAAGAAAGAAAAAGGAAGAAGGAAAGAAAAAAGGAAAGAAAGGAAGGAAGGAAGGCAGAAAGUAAAAAAAAGAAAGACAGAAAGGAAGGAAGGAAGGGAAGGGAAGAAAGAAAGGAAGAAAGAAGGAAGGAAGGAAAGAAAGACAAAGAAAGGAAGAAAGAAGGAAGGAAGGAAAGAAAGAGACAAAGAAAGGAAGACAGAAAGAAAGAGGAAGGAAGGAAGGGAGAAAGGAAAGAAGAAAGAAAGAAAGGAAGAAAGAAAAGAAAGAAAAAAGGAAGGAAGAGAGAAAAGGAAGAAAGGAAGGAAGAAAGGAAGGAAAGAAAGAAAGGAAAAGAAAAGAAAGAAAGAAAGGAAGGAAGAAAGAAUGCCCAAAUUAAAAAUAACAUUUAAAAUAAUACCUGUUUGUAGGGUACAUGAUUUGCAUAAAGAAAAUCCAAAAUAAUUUACAAGAGAGGUAACACAUUCAUUCACUCAGGUUGCAGGAUACAAUAUCAACAUAAAAACUUAAUUGCGUUUCUCUACACUAUCAUGAAACAUUUGAGAAAUUAA
rnacentral:lncRNA from 1 species